UCUACUACACUUGGAUGCACAAUAAAUCCU
rnacentral:piRNA from 1 species